GUCCCUACGGGAGGCAGCAGUGAGGAAUAUUGGUCAAUGGGCGAGAGCCUGAACCAGCCAAGUCGCGUGAGGGAGUACUGCCCUAUGGGUUGUAAGCCUCUUUUGUCGGAGAACAAAACCCGGGACGUGUCCCGGACUGCGUGUAUCCGAAGAAAAAGCAUCGGCUAACUCCGUGCCAGCAGCCGCGGUAAUACGGAGGAUGCGAGCGUUAUCCGGAUUUAUUGGGUUUAAAGGGUGCGUAGGCGGUCCGUUAAGUCAGCGGUAAAAUUGCGGGGCUCAACCCCGUCGAGCCGUUGAAACUGGCG
rnacentral:rRNA from 1 species